rnacentral:rRNA from 1 species
AUAUUGGUCAAUGGCCGGAAGGCUGAACCAGCCAAGCCGCGUGAGGGAAGACGGCCCUACGGGUUGUAAACCUCUUUAGCCGGGGAACAAGGCGCGGGACGCGUCCCGCCGUGAGCGUACCCGGAGAGUAAGCAUCGGCUAACGCCGUGCCAGCAGCCGCGGUAAUAAGGAGGAUGCGAGCGUUAUCCGGAUUUAUUGGGUUUAAAGGGUGCGUAGGCGGGCUUUUAAGUCAGCGGUAAAAAUUCGGGGCUCAACCCCGUCCGGCCGUUGAAACUGGGGGCCUUGAGUGGGCGAGAAGAAGGCGGAAUGCGUGGUGUAGCGGUGAAAUGCAUAGAUAUCACGCAGAACCCCGAUUGCGAAGGCAGCCUUCCGGCGCCCUACUGACGCUGAGGCACGAAAGUGCGGGGAUCGAACAGG